rnacentral:misc_RNA from 1 species
CUCCGCAAUUCCCUCGGGAACGCGGGCGGGGCGGAAAGUGGCCUCCCGUGCGCCCCGCCGCGCGGUUGGCAUAAAUACCAAGUCCUCGGCGACGAGCGCCACGACAAUCGGUGGCUUUCAAACCCCCCCGUUGCGUGCCGUGCGCGCCCGUCGCGACUCGAGGGCUC